rnacentral:lncRNA from 1 species
AUCCUACGGGUUGCCACCCAAGACAUUGAUAUCUGGUGCUAUAGAUUUAAUCAUUCAAGUACGCUGCCAGCGAAAGGUACUUGGAUGUCUAGCCCGGCAAAUUUUUUUGGCUCAUUUUCCUUUAUGACAAUUGGACCUUUACAACACCCCUCCUCCCACCUACUCAUUUUCAUUUUGUUUCACUUGAAAAGAAGUGUAAAUCAUAGACUACCCUUAAGAAGAAGGUUUGUUUUCUCUAAAAUUUAUAUGAAAU